rnacentral:lncRNA from 1 species
AAGAACAAAGUAGUGACGGUACAUGAGAAAAGAAGAAUGUAAGGGUUACUGGGCAGGAAAACAAACAGAACUUGGUACUGUUUGUUUGGGGAUGUAAAAGGCAGAGUAGAUUUUAAAAUUUAAAGUCUGGGUGUCCAGCAAGGAAGAUAGAAAUUUGGAGGAGAAGUAGGUGUAUCAGCAAGAUGAAAACUGAGCCAGAGCUGGAGAACCAGGCGCAGAAAACAAGAGGCAACCGAGUGUGGCAGGCAGCCCAGAACUGCUACAAGCCCACUCCGGCCACAGGAGCUUUUGGUGCGAAUGCCACCACGAUGCUGCCUGCAGGGGGAGCUCGCCAUGGCUGAUGCUGCACCCUCGGCCCUGAGACAGCGCGGCUUCCACCUCCAGAAGUGAUUUCUGACUGACCCAGGCUGAAGCCUCUGACUGACAGGGCGCAGGUCACAUGCCGGCUUUCCAGCAGGGAAGGAGCGGAGGGGAGUGGGAGGGAAACGGCCCCUACUACCGUCCCCCGGGUCCUGCCUGCCUCCCCAGCCCUAACCCCGAUGAUUUUCCCAAACAGGCUAGGAUGCGGAGGCCGAGCAGAAGAAAUUGACCACUGUUCAAUAAAGCAGUGAGGAAGACAAGCUACCUGGCUUCCUGGCUACCCGGAAGAGUCGUUGUCUACACUCAGUCACUGUUUCCACUAACCUCACACUGGGAGACCUUAGAGCAUAUUAUUUAAGAGCUCAGUUUUUGAGAUGGUCAACCUGGGUUCAAAUUCUGCUAGGACCACUUACUUAGCUUUAUGACCUAGUACAAGUCACUUAGACUUUGCAAGUCUCUGAUUAUUAUCUUAAAUUAGGGAUAAUCAUAACUUCUCAGUGUUGUAUGCAAAGUCCUAAGCACAGUGUCUGGAAUGUAGUAAGUGUACAUUCAAUGUAACAAGUGUACAUUCAAUGUAACCUGCUACUAUUUAUUCCUUGCACCUCUGCAACCUGGUUGCUCCUCUUCUACUGUUGACACUGCCCCCAUCAAGGCCUCCAGUGAUCUUCUAGUUGCUAAAACUUAUUAAUGUUUUUCCAUUUUUUAAGACAAUAUUUUAUUUAAUUUCUUCAAGGUGUUACAUACUGUUGACUCCUCCCUCUUAAAAUACAGUCUUUUUUUUUUUUUUUUUUUUUUUUUUUUUGAGAUGUAGUCUCGCUCUGUCACCCAGGCUGGAGUGCAGUGGCAUGAUCUCGGCUCACUGCAACCUCUGCCUCUCGGGUUCAAGCAAAUCUACUGCCUCAGCCUCCUGAGUACCUGGGAUUACAGGUGCCCACCAAAGCACCCAGCUAAUUUUUGUAUUUUUUUUUAGUAGAGACG